rnacentral:rRNA from 1 species
AAAACAUUGGUAGAGGAGCAUUGCUAGCGGGAUGAAGCCAUACCGAAAGGAGUGGUGGACUGCUAGGAAGAGUGAAUGCCGGAAUGAGUAGCGAGAUGAAGGUGAGAAUCCUUCAGGCCGAAUAUCUAAGGUUUCCAGAGUAAAGCUGAUCUGCUCUGGGUAAGUCGGGACCUAAGGCGAGGUCGAAAGACGUAGUCGAUGGAUAACAGGUUGAAAUUCCUGUACCGCAUAUAAACAGAACUGUGGGGACACAGACAGGGAAUGGAAUCCGGGGAUGGAGAACCCGGAGCAAGCGAGGUAGGAGUGCUGUUGGCAAAUCCGCAGCACGAUCUGAAGACGUGGUGCGUACCGAACAUAAGUAGGGAAGUCCAGGCCCCUGGCUGUCAAGAAAAGCCGCUAUUGUUUUAUAUGUGCCCGUACCGCAAACCGACACGGGUGGAUGAGGAGAGAAUCCUAAGGCCGACGGGAGAAGUAUUGUUAAGGAACUCGGCAAAAUGACUCCGUAACUUCGGGAGAAGGAGUGCCAUGAGAGUGGCCGCAGAGAAAUGGCCCAAGCAACUGUUUAGCAAAAACACAGGUCUAUGCAAAACCGCAAGGUGAAGUAUAUGGGCUGACGCCUGCCCGGUGCUGGAAGGUUAAGGGGAGAGGUUAGCGCAAGCGAAGCUUUGAACUUAAGCCCCAGUAAACGGCGGCCGUAACAAUAACGGUCCUAAGGUAGCGAAAUUCCUUGUCGGGUAAGUUCCGACCCGCACGAAAGGCGUAAUGAUUUGGGCACUGUCUCAACGAUACACCCGGUGAAAUUGAAAUACCAGUGAAGAUGCUGGUUACCUGCGCCAGGACGGAAAGACCCCAUGGAGCCUUACUCCAGUUUGAUACUGGGAUUCGGCAUGGUAUGUACAGGAUAGGUGGGAGACUGAGAAGGUAUGACGUCAGUUGUACCGGAGUCGCUGUUGGGAUACCACCCUUACCAUGUUGGAUUUCUAACCUGUGGCCGUGAACCGGUCAGGGGACAAUGUCAGGCGGGGAGUUUGACUGGGGCGGUCGCCUCCGAAAGGGUAUCGGAGGCGCUCAAGGGUUCCCCCAGAAUGGUUGGAAACCAUUCGAAGAGUGCAAAGGCAGAAGGGAGCUUGACUGUGACACCGACGGGUGGAGCAGGUACGAAAGUAGGACUUAGUGAUCCGGUGGUAUAAAGUGGGAUUGCCAUCGCUCAACGGAUAAAAGCUACCCUGGGGAUAACAGGCUUAUCACUCCCAAGAGUUCACAUCGACGGAGUGGUUUGGCACCUCGAUGUCGGCUCAUCGCAUCCUGGAGCUGUAGCAGGUUCCAAGGGUUGGGCUGUUCGCCCAUUAAAGCGGUACGCGAGCUGGGUUCAGAACGUCGUGAGACAGUUCGGUCCCUAUCCGGCGCAGGCGGAGGAAAUUUGAUAGGAGCUGUCCUUAGUACGAGAGGACCGGGAUGGACGGACCGCUGGUGUAUCUGUUGUACUGCCAAGUGCAUCGCAGAGUAGCCAAGUCUGGAAGGGAUAAACGCUGAAGGCAUCUAAGCGUGAAGCCCCCCUAAAGAUAAGAUUUCCCAUACCAAAAGGUAGUAAGACCCCUUGAAGACGACGAGGUAGAUAGGGCAGAGGUGGAAGUGUGGUAACGCAUGGAGCUGACUGUUACUAAUCGGUCGAGGCUUUAAUC